UUUCAACAACGGAUCUCUUGGUUCUGGCAUCGAUGAAGAACGCAGCGAAAUGCGAUAAGUAAUGUGAAUUGCAGAAUUCAGUGAAUCAUCGAAUCUUUGAACGCACAUUGCGCCCCCUGGUAUUCCGGGGGGCAUGCCUGUUCGAGCGUCAUUA
rnacentral:rRNA from 6 species